UAAAAUGAAAUUUUUUGAUUUCGACUCAAAAAUUGAAAAUUUUUUUCCAUUUUAU
rnacentral:tRNA from 1 species